rnacentral:tRNA from 1 species
GGCGGGAUAGCUCAGUCGGUAGAGCACUGGAAUCAUAAUCCAUCGGUCGGGGGUUCGAGUCCCUCUCCCGCCACCA